rnacentral:rRNA from 1 species
AACGGCCAUACCAUGCUGAAUAUACCGGUUCUCGUUAGAUCACCGAAGUCAAGCAUCAUCGGCGCGGUCAGUACUUGGGUGGGGGGGACCACCUGGAAACACUGCGUGCCGUU